CUCGAGCUCUUGACCAUCAGGACGUCAUUGGCGCACCGGGCCCGCCCAGUCCCCUCCCACAUCUGCCUGGCUUUAGUUUGUCUGGGAGCAGUUUUUCCCCCAACUCAGAAUCAGUGAAGUGGGUCUUUCUUAACACUCAAAAUUACAUUUUAUUGAACAGAAAAUUAUCAUUUUUUUUAUUGAAUGGCGUGAAACAGGACUUAUUUUCAAAUAUAGGACAUAGCCUACUAGAAUAUCUGUUUUCAGAAUAUAAAUGGUAGCCUAAUACAACAGGCUACUGAGGCCUAUGCUUGAACUUUGCAACAUUGAAUAGUCUUUAUUUUCGCAACGAUAAUAUUUCUUCAAAACAUUUUUUUUUAAAUGUAUGUUUUUAGUAAGCUUGUAUGCACAACCACCGUGAUAUACAAAACUGGUUUUCCAUUUAUCAGAUACAUCAGGCCAACCUCACCAUAGCACAUUUCACUGACUUUGACUUAUUAAAGUGUGAAGUAUGUUUAAAAUGUUGCUUAAAAUACGCUUAUUUUAAAUAAAAUGUCUCUAUUCAAGACCACGCUGCUGAUUUCUUUAAAAGAUAGACAGGAACAUGGGCAGGAUGUUUAUACAGCAAAAUGUAAACAUUUUCCCUGGCCUUCUUUAAAUAAAAAAUCAAGCAAAAAGCCCCGCUAGAUCAGCUCAUACUCAAUCUGAUGCAUUAUGUCCGUUUUAGACAGCUCCUUGUGUAUGGAUAGGACUUUUCAACGUAAAUGCAGAAAGGGAUUUCAAUCAUGUAUAAUUAUUAUGUUCACACAGUAGAUCUGAGGGUAAGAGCGCCCUGAGCCUAGCCGAAUACUGGGCACUGAAACUCGGAUGAGGACUUCAGAUCGACGCCCACCAAACUCUCUCCCCUCAGAAUGGUGCUCGAAUCAAGCCCUCUGUGAUGGAUGAGGGAGAGAAGGUUUUCCAGUGAUGGCAACUGUUCCUAUGACAACCAGACCUCCACCGGGGGAUUGCGUCUGUCAGACAGUGCUAAUGAUAAUUGAGAGGUACGGAUCGAAAAGAGUAUCGCUGUAAUCUCUCCUCCAUCGGAAUAGCAGAGAAAGCGCUAUGAGGGGACCAUUUUCCCUUCUCACCACCGCCCUGGCUGGAGUGGGCAGGCGUGCGGGUUUGGCCGCAGGAAGCCGUGAAUUCCUCGAAGAACAGAGGGUGUCAGGGCCCAGAACUCGACUGGGGGGGAGGGGGCGUACUGUACCUUGUAACGUCUCGUAAUCCUCCUAGUUGACCCCUGACCCCGACCUGUGUUUGUAUCAGGUAAUCAACGUGAGAAGUUGUAAUGAGUCACUCCAGCAGUGUGUUUACCUUCUGGAGUCACGCAAGGAAGGAAAUAAGGCACGGUCUUCUAAAAGUGGCGGUGUGAGAGAGAAUAGCAGAGCCCUGAUUCAUCUCACUGUGACUGGCCUCUUGUCCCGUUACACUGGGUUUAUUUAACCUAUUCACUACUGUAGGGAGACAAGCUACAGAUCAGCCAAAACAGGGAGUCAGUCUACAGUAUAGAGAACUGUAUGAAAAUAUAAGGUAUGAGAUUAAUAGUGUAAUUCUGUAAUUGAAGUCUGAUUCGGAUCCCAACUCAUUGAGUGAAAUGAUCCGUGUACUGCAGUAUGUGGAUACAACUUGUUUUUGCUAUCACUGUGUAAUAUGUUGCUAAUAGACCGAACAUGUGUUAUUUUUGUCAUCAUUUUCUGCUGAGUGUGUUGCAGUCAUUUUAGUUUUUGUUGCUGUGCCCAAUGAAAUUAGGAGAGAUUUAGUAUUUAUUUGUCUCAUGCAACAAUCAUAAAUUAUGUGCAUGUGAUUUUUCUGUUUAAUAAUAAUUUAUUGCAAUACAUUUCUGACUCCAAGAUACAGAUUAUAUCUGGAAGAUCCCUUGCAAUUCGCUUUGAAGGAGAAAUCUCUGCACUCCCAAAUACAUUGUUUUCAUCUUGAACUUACAUUGAGCUCUUGAAACUGUUGAAACUGGAAUGAGUAUGCAACUGUGGCCAACGCCUGUGAUUAAAAUACAAUGUCCUGGCCUACCAUCACGCUGUAGCCUUCCACACCGUGGGCUUGUGUGAUCGCGCAAUUGUUGUUUUUGAGCAAGUGCCCCUGUUAGUUUUACUCUGUAAAUAAAGAUGUGCUCUGAGCUGACAA